rnacentral:rRNA from 1 species
UACGUAGGGUGCAAGCGUUGUCCGGAAUUAUUGGGCGUAAAGAGCUCUGUAUGGACGGGUCUGUCGCGAUUCGGAUGUGAAAACCCAGGGCUCAACCUGGCCCUGCAUUCGAUACGGGCAGACUAGAGUUCGGUAGGGGAGACUGGAAUUCCUGGUGUAGCGGUGAAAAUGCGCAGAUAUCAGGAGGAACACCGGUGGCGAAGGCGGGUCUCUGGGCCGAAACUGACGCUGAGGAGCGAAAGCGUGGGGAGCAAACAGG